rnacentral:misc_RNA from 1 species
AACCAUAGAAACCUGCGGAGUACCUGCGGAGGGAUCAUUAAAGAUUGACCGAAAGGUCUUAUCUCUAUAUCCCUCACCUCUGUGAACUGUGGACCUCCGGGUCUAUUUAACAAACAUCAGUGUAAUGAACGUAUAUAUCAUUAAACAAAACAAAACUUUUAACAACGGAUCU